rnacentral:rRNA from 1 species
UACGUAGGGGGCGAGCGUUGUCCGGAAUCAUUGGGCGUAAAGAGCUCGUAGGCGGUUCAGCAAGUCGGCUGUGAAAUUCCGAGGCUCAACCUCGGAACUGCAGUCGAUACUGCUGUGACUCGAGUCCGGUAGAGGAGAAUGGAAUUCCCGGUGUAGCGGUGAAAUGCGCAGAUAUCGGGAGGAACACCAGUAGCGAAAGCGACUUCCUGGACCAAUACUGACGCUCAUGUGCGAAAGCGUGGGGAGCAAACAGG